UACGUAGGGUGCGAGCGUUAAUCGGCAUUACUGGGCGUAAAGCGUGCGCAGGCGGUUUCUUAAGCCAGAUGUGAAAGCCCCGGGCUUAACCUGGGAAUUGCGUUUGGAACUGGGAGACUAGAGUGUGGAAGAGGGAGGUAGAAUUCCACGUGUAGCAGUGAAAUGCGUAGAGAUGUGGAGGAAUACCGAUGGCGAAGGCAGCCUCCUGGGCCAACACUGACGCUCAUGCACGAAAGCGUGGGUAGCAAACAGG
rnacentral:rRNA from 1 species